rnacentral:rRNA from 1 species
UGCAGUCGAGCGGACAGAUGGGAGCUUGCUCCCUGAUGUUAGCGGCGGACGGGUGAGUAACACGUGGGUAACCUGCCUGUAAGACUGGGAUAACUCCGGGAAACCGGGGCUAAUACCGGAUGGUUGUUUGAACCGCAUGGUUCAGACAUAAAAGGUGGCUUCGGCUACCACUUACAGAUGGACCCGCGGCGCAUUAGCUAGUUGGUGAGGUAACGGCUCACCAAGGCGACGAUGCGUAGCCGACCUGAGAGGGUGAUCGGCCACACUGGGACUGAGACACGGCCCAGACUCCUACGGGAGGCAGCAGUAGGGAAUCUUCCGCAAUGGACGAAAGUCUGACGGAGCAACGCCGCGUGAGUGAUGAAGGUUUUCGGAUCGUAAAGUUCUGUUGUUAGGGAAGAACAAGUGCCGUUCAAAUAGGGCGGCACCUUGACGGUACCUAACCAGAAAGCCACGGCUAACUACGUGCCAGCAGCCGCGGUAAUACGUAGGUGGCAAGCGUUGUCCGGAAUUAUUGGGCGUAAAGGGCUCGCAGGCGGUUUCUUAAGUUUGAUGUGAAAGCCCCCGGCUCAACCGGGGAGGGUCAUUGGAAACUGGGGAACUUGAGUGCAGAAGAGGAGAGUGGAAUUCCACGUGUAGCGGUGAAAUGCGUAGAGAUGUGGAGGAACACCAGUGGCGAAGGCGACUCUCUGGUCUGUAACUGACGCUGAGGAGCGAAAGCGUGGGGAGCGAACAGGAUUAGAUACCCUGGUAGUCCACGCCGUAAACGAUGAGUGCUAAGUGUUAGGGGGUUUCCGCCCCUUAGUGCUGCAGCUAACGCAUUAAGCACUCCGCCUGGGGAGUACGGUCGCAAGACUGAAACUCAAAGGAAUUGACGGGGGCCCGCACAAGCGGUGGAGCAUGUGGUUUAAUUCGAAGCAACGCGAAGAACCUUACCAGGUCUUGACAUCCUCUGACAAUCCUAGAGAUAGGACGUCCCCUUCGGGGGCAGAGUGACAGGUGGUGCAUGGUUGUCGUCAGCUCGUGUCGUGAGAUGUUGGGUUAAGUCCCGCAACGAGCGCAACCCUUGAUCUUAGUUGCCAGCAUUCAGUUGGGCACUCUAAGGUGACUGCCGGUGACAAACCGGAGGAAGGUGGGGAUGACGUCAAAUCAUCAUGCCCCUUAUGACCUGGGCUACACACGUGCUACAAUGGACAGAACAAAGGGCAGCGAAACCGCGAGGUUAAGCCAAUCCCACAAAUCUGUUCUCAGUUCGGAUCGCAGUCUGCAACUCGACUGCGUGAAGCUGGAAUCGCUAGUAAUCGCGGAUCCAG